rnacentral:rRNA from 1 species
UACGUAGGGCGCAAGCGUUGUCCGGAAUUAUUGGGCGUAAAGAGCGCGUAGGCGGCCCUGUAAGUCCGCUGUGAAAGUCAAGGGCUCAACCCUUGAAUGCCGGUGGAUACUGCAGGGCUAGAGUCCGGAAGAGGCGAGUGGAAUUCCUGGUGUAGCGGUGAAAUGCGCAGAUAUCAGGAGGAACACCCGUGGCGAAGGCGGCCCCCUGGGCCGUACCUGACGCCUGAGGCGCGAAGGCUGAGGGGAGCGAACGGG